GUAGGGUGAACUAGUGUGGUCAUAGUGCCUGCCUGAAGAGCAGGAGAAACAGGUUCGAUUCCUGUACCCUAUACCA
rnacentral:tRNA from 1 species